GGUUUCCUCAACCAAACUGAUAUUCAUUUGGUGAUGAAUCCUCCUUCCUACCCCACUGAUAGAACCAAAAUUGCUUUUUAAUCAACCACUUGUCCGGGAAAGCUCUAGCAUGGGCUAAUCCCAUGUGGGAGAAUACGUUCCCAAUGUCCUUUGCAGACUUUUUGACAGCUUUUAAACGUACAUUUGAUCAACCCGGCAGGGUUGCUUCUGC